AGAGACACCCUGACUCCCAUCUCUUGCAAAAGUUCCACAAAUGAACUCUUUUCUCCUGGGGAAUCUUUGGAGAUACUGCUAAGAUAAGGAUGUCUACAAAAGAUGGGUGAUGGGAUGCCUUCUGGAUGAAACACACACAAAUAACGAAUCAUGGGCUAGUAGUGGCAGGACCAAGAAGGUGUUUGGGCUUCUAGCCUUCUUCCUGAGGACACCUUAUGAUAGCAGUAGCUUCCUGUCUUUGCAACUGAGUUGGUAAAUAAAUUUUAUCCAUGUCUCUGGUAGCCUCAGUAUCUAAGAACUUCAAGAAAGAAGAGAAAUUUCAUCUCAAGAGUUACUCAGUGACUAAAUUUGAAGCCAACUGUUGGCUUCCAAAUACCCAGGAUCUCAUAAGGAAACAUAUUAAUUUCAGAUUGGAUUCACUUCUGAAACUAUUUUGUAAACCAUGGAGAAAUUCUAGCUAUGGAGAAGGACAAAGGAUGAAAGAGAUGCAGUGGGGAACAUCCUGGGAAAACAUAUAAUCAACUUUUAGUUGAUCUGAUCGCAUACACCCCCUCCCUCCUACUGUCCUGCAGGAAAUUUUGACUUUGUGUUUAUUUUUCCUUACUUAAGAUACUAGCUAUUGAAAAUAGAUUCCAAGCCUCAAUCAAGCUCAUUUUACACACACACAUACAAGGACACACGAACAUGCCCAACAACACAAAGUGCAAAUGAAUCCUGUAAUUUUCUAGAUAUAAGUGCUGAUAGUAUUUGCUUAAAAAAAUGUAAAUCAUACAGUAAUAAACUUAAAGAAUUGGAAGGGGCCAUUUAGAUUAUCAAAUCCAACCCCCUAAGUUAAAGCAUUCCAUAAAGAUGUCCAGCCUCUGUUCACCUACUUUCUGAGUUAUAAGUUUCAUUAUUGCUCUUCUUAAAAAAAAAUAAAAUCAUAUCAUAUCAUUCAGCCAAAAUCUGCUUUCUUGUAGCUUAAAUCCAUUCUUCUGUGUCAUUCAUUCUAGAACAAAAGAAAACAGGCCUGGACUUUUUCCUGUGUGACAUCUUUUCAGGUAUUUCAAGAGUGCUGUCACAAUUUUUAGUCUCUUGAUCAUUCUCAUUUCUCUUUUCCAAAACUGUUCCACUUGGUUUGAGUCCUUCUUCAUGUAUCAGCCCAAACUGGACAUAAUACUUGAGAUAACGUCUGACCAACUCAGAAUAAAUAUUAAAAAAUACUAACUACUAAAUACUUCCUAGUACUGAGAAAGUAGGCUGUUAAUGCAGCCUAAAAUUUCAUUUGCAGUCACAUCCUAUUACUGAUGGAUUUUCAGUCUGUAGUCAACUACUAUUCAAUUUUUCCCCCCACAAGUACUAUUGACAAGUCAGGUAUACUCCAUUCUCUACCGUCAUCUUGCCUGUUUUGACCCUCCUUGCAGAUGCCAUUAGAUUAAGGACUGCUGUUCUAAAGCUUCACAAAGUACCCUCUGAGUUUAAUAAAAUGUGAUUCAUGAAGGCUGCACAGUCAACUUAUGCAAAAAAAAAAAGCGGCGGGAGGAAUAGGUUUGAUCAUUGCCUCCAGCAAGGUAAUAUUCCAUUUCCAACUGUUGUUUUGUUACGUAGUCUUAAAAAAAACCCUAAAGGAAUAUUUUUAUUCUGUGAAGGCAAGAUAACAAAACAUGACAUAACAAAAAUGACCCUUUGGGUUGAUUAACCAAAACUCUGCAUGGCUGCUUUGGUACUGUAUUAUAAUUCUCGGUUCAGAUAAAUAUAAAUCACAUAUAAUUUUGUGUAUACUUAUCUUGAACGGAAUGGGACUUAAUGCUUUAUGAUCUGGCAUAGGAUUGAACUCUUCCCUGGCUAUCUAAUAUCCACAUAAACACACAAAGCUUAAACUUUUUCUGUACGCUUGGCUUCUCCAAAUUAUGUAAUAUAACAUUGCCAUGUCCAAGUGUUCAGGGAAGUUUAAAAUGCCACCUUUCUAUGAGUUACAUACUACGUUCUUUGUGAUUCAGAGUGUGGGAAACUGUCAUUUUCAUGACAGAGGCACUGAACCACAUUAACACAGAAGGACGAUGUAGGAAACCCUUUUACUGCCUGUGUUUAUUCUUAACCAACAUACCAUCCACAUUGUGACUACAGAAGGUGAACUGCUGGGUACAAUAACCAAAGUGUGACUCUCUCCCUUGGCUUGUGUUAGUCAUCAUUUCUGAACAUUUGUCAGACUUAAUGUGCUACAGCAGACUGCAGGUCACAAUGUGUCAUUUCCAAAUGAACUUUGACUUUUCCCCUCCUGGGGCCAAGAGCCAGUCAUGUUAACCUAAGAAUCUGUGCCUUAAAAGGUGGAGUGGAGAAGCUGAAUUUCCAGAAAAUCUUUCAUGGGUAAAAGUGAACUUGGUGUCAGUCUUUUGGGCCACCAAAACUUGUGAGAAUAGUUUAGUCAAGGAAAUAGGGUCUUCAUUUUUUUAAAAAAUGGGGCAAAUACCCAAAGGGAGUGUAUACUGUAAGUUAUAAACAGUACUUUAAAAGAAACGCAGCCUCAUCCUAGGCUUGAAGCGUUUUGAAAGGAGUCAUUUAAGGCAUCGUCCACUUCCCUUUCCAGCACAGGAAACUUAAUUAAAGGAUCCCUGAUGAAUAUCUGCCUAGCCUCUGCUUGAUCGCAUCCAGUGAUGGAGAGUAAUAAUUCAGCUGUAUAUGCAGAGAAUUUGAUGGAAUGUGUAAUUUUUUUCUAUUGAGGUGAGAGGCUUAAGGAUCCCUUUAAUUUUGUCGAAGGCUUUCACGGCCGGAAUACGAUGGGUGGUGUGGGUCUUCUGGGCUGCCUAUGCCAGUCCCAAAUGCUGGCAAAACAUUAGGAAACAAAACUUCCAGAACACGGCCACACAGCCCGGAAGACUCACACCAACCCCUUUAAUUAUUGAUCAAACUACACAGCCCAAGGACCUGG